CGGGUGAGUAACACGUGGAUAACCUACCUAUAAGACUGGGAUAACUUCGGGAAACCGGAGCUAAUACUGGAUAAUAUUUUGAACCGCAUGGUUCAAAAGUGAAAGACGGUCUUGCUGUCACUUAUAGAUGGAUCCGCGCUGCAUUAGCUAGUUGGUAAGGUAACGGCUUACCAAGGCAACGAUGCAUAGCCGACCUGAGAGGGUGAUCGGCCACACUGGAACUGAGACACGGUCCAG
rnacentral:rRNA from 1 species